rnacentral:rRNA from 1 species
CAACAGCGUAUAUUUAAGUUGUUGCAGUUAAAAAGCUCGUAGUCGGAUUUUGGCUGAGAACGAUCGGUCCGCCGUUAGGUGUGCACUGAUUGGUCUCAGCUUCCUGGUGAGGAGGUGUGCUUCACGGCCACUUAGUCACCGUGGUUACUUUGAAAAAAUUAGAGUGUUCAAAGCGGGCUUACGCUUGAAUAUAUUAGCAUGGAAUAACACCAUAGGACUCCUGUCCUAUUUCGUUGGUCACGGGACGGGAGUAAUGAUUAAGAGGAACAGUUGGGGGCAUUCGUAUUUCAUUGUCAGAGGUGAAAUUCUUGGAUUUAUGAAAGACGAACUUCUGCGAAAGCAUUUGCCAAGGAUGUUUUCAUUGA